rnacentral:rRNA from 1 species
UUGGAGGGCAAGUCUGGUGCCAGCAGCCGCGGUAAUUCCAGCUCCAAUAGCGUAUAUUAAAGUUGUUGCAGUUAAAAAGCUCGUAGUUGAAUUUCGGGAUCAGAGUGUCGGUCGUGCCUCGGUACGCACUGGUAUUAUUGGUUCCUACCUUCUGAAGAACCGCGAUGUCAUUAAUUUGGAGUCGUGGGGAAUCAGGACUGUUACUUUGAAAAAAUUAGAGUGUUUAAAGCAGGCUUACGCUUGAAUACAUUAGCAUGGAAUAAUGAAAUAGGACGUUUGAUUCUAUUUUGUUGGUUUCUAGGAUUGACGUAAUGAUUAAUAGGGAUAGUUGGGGGCAUUAGUAUUCAAUUGUCAGAGGUGAAAUUCUUGGAUUUAUUGAAGACUAACUACUGCGAAAGCAUUUGCCAAGGAUGUUUUCAUUAAUCAAGAACGAAAGUUAGGGGAUCGAAGACGAUCAGAUACCGUCGUAGUCUUAACCAUAAACUAUGCCGACUAGGGAUCGGAUGAUGUUAAUUUUUUAAUGACUCAUUCGGCGCCUUACGGGAAAC